rnacentral:misc_RNA from 1 species
GUUAUAAGAUUUCGCGCUGAAAGCAACUGAAAGCAACUGAAAGGAACAAGAUAUCUAUAUAUUAACGGUCUCUCGCCAAGUUUCGAACCUGCCUUUGCUUUAUUUUAUCCCCUUUAUCCUCAUACUCACACUUACUCGUUGACUUGUGAAAUAAUUGAUUUCGGCAUUAAAUCGCGGACAGUAUUCUUCCCACGUUUCACUUCAUAUAUACCUCAACAAUUCGUUCGAACGAGACGUAUAAAAAGAAAAAGGAAAAAGUUAUUCAACUCAUUAACAAUUAUGACUCUGCAGCUACUAAAGGUAUUCCUUGUCUGUUCGGUAAUCGGUUGUACGAUGAUAGCAAACUCCCAAGGGAAUGUUGUACCCGCACAAUCGAGGGUUUCAGAUGAUCAACUUGAGGUCGCUUUAAGUGACAAACGUUAUCUCAUGAGACAAUUGAAAUGUGCUCUGGGCGAAGCAACGUGCGACCCAGUAGGACGUCGAUUGAAAAGUCUGGCACCACUUGUACUACGCGGUUCAUGUCCGCAGUGUAGCCCCCAAGAAACUAGGCAAAUUCAAAAAGUUCUUUCUCAUAUCCAAAGAAACUUCCCAAGGGAGUGGUCCAAAGUAGUCCAGCAAUACGCUGGUGUCUAAAAAAGUCAUCCAUACAAAUAAAUAGCACGUCAUCUUUCCCAUAGGAAGAAAAAGUUACUACACGAAUUGAGAAACAAAUUUCAAAAAUUCAAUAAAUCCUUUGUCCAGGCAAAAAUAGAAGAACGUAAAAAACCGGUGCCGUUGAUUGUACAAAUUGAAUACGCAAUAUAAGAUAACACAAAAAAAACGGACCAUUCAUAUACAAUUGAUUACAUAUUGUGUAUUACAAUUGUUAUUUGUUAUUAUUAUUAUUAUUAUUAUUAUUAUUAUUAUUGUUGUUGUUGUGUUGUUUUUGUUUUUGAAUUACAACGAACAACACCUAUGUAUAUUGUAGACGGUAUGUAUGUCUCUGAGCGCAGGAAUUUUUUUUUAAUUAUAAAUAUGAAAUGAAAUAUAGUGCAGUGGAAUUAUUCAACAUACCUAUCCUCUCGGAUAUAACUACGCGAGUUAUAUGACAGCGAAUGCUUAUCGAUUGUUAAUAACAAAAA